rnacentral:ncRNA from 2 species
ACGAAGAUGCGGGGGGACUCAGACGAGUUGAGAACGCGACAGCGUGACCCUUUGAACCUGUUGGCUAACACCUACGUAGGGAGACAUCAUAUGGCGAAAU